GGGUCCAUAGCUCAGUCGGUAGAGCAACUGACUUUUAAUCAGUAGGUCGCUGGUUCGAGCCCAGCUGGACUCACCA
rnacentral:tRNA from 5 species